rnacentral:rRNA from 1 species
UACGAAGGGGGCUAGCGUUGUUCGGCCUUACUGGGCGUAAAGCGCACGCAGGCGGAUUUAUAAGUCAGGGGUGAAAUCCCGGGGCUCAACCUCGGAAUUGCCUUUGAUACUGUCUAUCUUGAGUCCGGGAGAGGUGAGUGGAAUUCCUAGUGUAGAGGUGAAAUUCGUAGAUAUUAGGAAGAACACCAGUGGCGAAGGCGGCUCACUGGCCCGGUACUGACGCUCAGGUGCGAAAGCGUGGGGAGCAAACAGG